GGGUCUGGGUGGUACAACUCUGCCUGGAAGAGAAGCAAAGUCAGUAGCCUAGUUGGAUGUUUUCCUCUGAGGCAAUAUUCUGAUCAGAUACUGGAUGGAAGACAAGCAUGCCUUUGUUUGCCAAGUAGAAUGAUGAUUGUGACCUACGAUAUUAACCGCAGGUACUGGGUCAUUAUGGAAGGAGGAGGGUGGAGGUUCCAUGAUCUUUUUGGUUCUCGGAACCCUGAUCAGACCCUCAGAAUCAACACUGAUAUCAGCCAACCCCAUCCUCGUGCCUUGUUCCUUGCUGACUUUCAGCCACCAGAAUCUUAGAAG